rnacentral:misc_RNA from 1 species
GAUGAAGAACGUAGCGAAAUGCGAUAACUAAUGUGAAUUGCAGAAUUCAGUGAAUCAUCGAGUCUUUGAACGCACAUUGCGCCCCCUGGUAUUCCGGGGGGCAUGCCUGUCCGAGCGUCAUUGCUGCCCUCAAGCACGGCUUGUGUGUUGGGCUCCGUCCCCCCGGGGACGGGCCCGAAAAGCAGCGGCGGCACCGAGUCCGGUCCUCGAGCGUAUGGGGCUUUGUCACCCGCUCUGUAGGCCCGGCCGGCGCCAGCCGACAACCCAUCAUCCUUUUCAGGUUGACCUCGGAUCAGGUAGGGAUACCCGCUGAACUUAAGCAUAUCAAUAAGCGGAGGA